rnacentral:tRNA from 1 species
GAACCCGUGGCUUAAUAGUUAGAGCAUUUGACUUCUGAUCAACAGGUCGCGGGUUUG